UUUUUUUUUGGUUUUUUUUU
rnacentral:sRNA from 1 species